rnacentral:lncRNA from 15 species
UUUAAAGAACAAUGUCUGCUGAUAUGAACACUGUUCAAAUCCCAACUUCUCCUUUAUGUAUUAAUAAAAUUAAGUUCCAUUUAUUCUCCCAUUAAUUUAUUUUUACAUUUAUAGAUGGUAUAUGUAGAUAGAAUUAACUUAUUUUUUAAAUUUUGUUUUAUUUUACUAUGAUAUCUAAAAAAGCUAAACAAUGAUCAAUGAUGCGGCUCACUGCCUCCUCCUCAUAUGUGAUAAAGUUAUUUCCUAUUAUUUUACUACUUCUGAUGCAGUUCUCUUGCUUUGCCUCACCACUCAUUUCCUCGUAACUGUUAUUUAGAGAAGGAAUGUAUAAUGAGGAAGGAGUAUAAAAAUAAAAGGGAAGGACCAGUGUUUAGGUAACAUACAACAGACAUUCAAAAAACGCUUCAGACCGACUGACUGUAGAAGUGAAAUAACCAGCUAGAGUUUAAUAAUCUGACCGAGGAGCAGCAAGACCAACAUGAUGAAGAUCUUUCUGCUCCUCCUCUCACUGAUGGCAGGCUGUGAGGCCUCAACUGAAGUGAAGGUUUGCAGAGACGGAUGGGUUGAAUUCUACUGCAAAUAUAAAGCAAGUGAAACAUACCAAAUAAUCGAUGUAGUUCCUCCAAACAAUUCAGAAAUACGAAGUACUCAAAAGGAUCAGUGGGAAAACAAAGGCAGAUAUUCUCUGUAUCAUGAUACAAAAAAUAAAAGACUCAAAGUGGCCAUCAAACAACUUCAACAGGAGAACUUUGGGGAAUACGAGUGUGAAUUUUUUCAAGACCAGAACUCACCAGACGAAGUUGAAGAUGAAGUUAAAGUGGCAGCUGAGACAGAUGGCUGCCAGGGACAAUUUAACCAAACUGUGUACAGAACGGCUAAAACCACCAUCACAUGUGAUUAUCCAGAAAACAAACACAGGUUCAGUGACAAGUUUCUCUGCAGAGAGAAUAAAUUCACUUGUGAGGAGAUUUUAUCAACGAGAUCUUCUGUAAAGUCAAACAGAAAAUACAAUCUCACAGAAACCAACAGAGGAUUCAGUGUGUCCAUCAGUAAUGUGUCCUCACAUGAUGCUGGUCUCUACUGGUGUGGAGUGAAUAAAGGAAAUUACCAAACUGGACUCAGAAAAAUCCAACUGGAGGUUGAAGGUGAGCAGCACACAUCUGACACUUCUAGGUUUGAUUCACUCACACAUAUAACUGAGGUCUCUCUGAAAUAUGUUGUUAAAUACAGUCAAUGCUGUCUGUCUACAGAUAUUACGACAUUCGCAAGGUCUCCAACUAUUGGACAGAAUUUUACAUACUGGUGUGAAUAUCCAAAUGGUGCUCCGAUAAAGAAAUUCAUCUGUAAGGGAGAAGAUCCAUCUAUAUGUCAACCUCUAGUAAACACUGUACAGCGCAACAUGAACAACGGAAAGUUUUCCAUGAAGGAAGACAAAUUAAAGAGAAAUGUAACCAUAACAGUGAGAGAAGUAACAGCAGACGACAGUGGGACAUACUGGUGUGGAGCAGAAAGCACUGACACAAGACGCAGUAACACAUUCUUCCACAGAUGCUUGUUGACUGUAGGUGAGUGGUCACAUUAUUUUAUUGUUUGGAUGUAAUCUGACUCCUGUUUAUAUGUAAACCUGACAAUUUGAUUACCAGGUUCAUGAUGGCAUUUUCUUUCUUUUUUUUAUGGAUUUUCUUUACCAGAUUUUACCAAAUUAUAUUUCUUAUUUUCUUACACUUCUAC